AAACGUAGGAGACGAGCGUUAUUCGGAUUUACUGGGCGUAAAGCGCAUGCAGGUGGUAUGGCAAGUUGGAUGUGAAAGCUCCUGGCUUAACUAGGAGAGGUCAUUCAAAACUGCCAAACUUGAGAAUAGGAGAGGGAGGUGGAAUUCCGGGUGUAGUGGUGAAAUGCGUAGAUAUCCGGAGGAACACCAGUGGCGAAAGCGACCUCCUGGCCUAUUUCUGACACUCAGAUGCGAAAGCUAGGGUAGCAAACGGGAUUAGAGACCCCGGUAGUCCUAGCCGUAAACGAUGUAGACUUGGCGUUGGUGGGGUAAAAUCCAUCAGUGCCGAAGCUAACGCGAUAAGUCUACCGCCUGGGGACUACGGCCGCAAGGUUAAA
rnacentral:rRNA from 1 species